AUCAACAUGAACAGGAGUUUGGAAGAAGUUGAUUCCCAUCCUCAUGGAUGACUUUCACAGGUUCAAGACUUCAGUGGAGGAAAUAACUGUAGAUAUAGUGGAAAUAGCAAGAGAACUAGAAUUAGAAGUGUAGCCUGAAGAUGUGACAGAAUUGCUGCAUUCUUAUGAUAAAAUUUGAAUGGAUGAGAAGUUGCUUCUUAUGGAUGAGUAAAGAAAGUGGUUUCUUAGGAUGAAAUCUACUCCUGGGGAAGAUGCUGUGAAAUUGUUGAAAUAACAGCAAAGAAUUUAGAAUGUCACAUAAACUUGACUGAUAAAGCAGUGGCAGAGUUUGAGAGGAUUGACUCCAACUUUGAGAGUUCUGUGGGUAAAAUGCUAUUAAACAGCAUCACAUACCACAGAGAAAUAGUUCAUGAAAGGAAGAAUCAACUGAUGCAGCAAACUUCAGUGUUGUCAUGUUUUAAGAAAUUGCCACAGCCACCUGAGCCUUCAGCAGUUAUCACCCUAAUCAGCCAUGAGUCAGCAGACAUUAAGCCAUUCACUCUGAGUAAAUAUGUUCCAGUUUGGAGCUGAUCUCAACAAUGAUGUGUUAUGCCUUACCAUCAGCCUGAAGCAUACGCACUGCUGCAGUGAGCCAGUCUUCUGAGCUGUUUCACCCAGGAAUGCAUUCAGACCAACUGCAGAAGAACGAAAGAAGUGUCAAAUAGUUAAAGAAUCUAGCCCGCACAGAAAGGGAGCUUCUGGUCAGGAGUUCUUCAGAGAGGAUAUGGUGGGUAUUUACUUGGGCCUCAAGGGUCCAGCUUCAGGUUCUUUGCCAUCAGUGGUGGAGACCAGUGAUACACAGCAAGGAACACGUCUUGGAACUACUGAUCCUGACCAUCCUGCCCAAGAACUCCAGGCCUGGGUAUAGGAGCAUCCCAGAGUAUAGGAAAGAGGCUGUCUGUACUGAAGAACUUGGAGAGGAAGCUGAAUGAUCUGAGAGGAAAGGUUUAGACUCUUUUUACUCAAAGUGGUCAGAAGAUCAGCAGCCUUGGCAU
rnacentral:lncRNA from 1 species